rnacentral:rRNA from 2 species
UCUACGGGAGGCAGCAGUGGGGAAUAUUGCACAAUGGGCGCAAGCCUGAUGCAGCCAUGCCGCGUGUGUGAAGAAGGCCUUCGGGUUGUAAAGCACUUUCAGCGGGGAGGAAGGCGGUAAGGUUAAUAACCUUACCGAUUGACGUUACCCGCAGAAGAAGCACCGGCUAACUCCGUGCCAGCAGCCGCGGUAAUA